AGCUCGAUUAUGGCUCAGAUUGAACGCCAAGUGGAUGUUGACAUGCAAGUCGAACGGCAGCACGGACUUCGGUCUGGUGGCGAGUGGCGAACGGGUGAGUAAUGUAUCGAACGUGCCUAGUAGCGGGGAUAACUACGCGAAAGCGUAGCUAAUAUCGCAUACGCCCUUCAAAAAAGUGGGGAUCCUUCUGGGCCUCAAUUAUUAGAGCGGGCUUGGGAUAUCGGAUUAGCUUAGUUGGUGGGGAACGGGCUACUAAGGAAGCGACGAUCCAGCUGGUUUGAGAGGACGACCAGCCACACUGGGAAUUUGAGACACGGCCCAGACUCCUACGGGAGGCAGCAGUGGGAAUUUUGGACAAUGGGGAAAUCCCUGAUCCAGCCAUCCGCGUGUGAUGGAAGGCCUUCGGGUUGUAAAGCACUUUUGGCAGGAAAGAACGCACGGGAUAAUACCUCGUGCAACUGACGGUACCUGCAGAAUAAGCAUCCGGCUAACUACGCCAGCAGCCGCGGUAAUACGUAGGGGUGCAAGCGUUAAUCGGAAUUACUGGGUAAAGCGUGCGCAGGCGGUCUGGAAAGAAAGAUGUAAACUGUAGAGCUUAACUUUGGAACCGCAUUUUUAACUCACCGAGCUAGAGGUGUCAGAGGGAGGGUGUGAAUUCGCGUGUAGCAGGAAUGCGAAAGGAGAACACUGAUGGCGAAGGCAGCCUCUGGGAUAACACUGACGUCGCGUAACGAAAGCGUAAGGCAAACAGGAUUAGAUGACUCUGCAGUCCAGCGCCUCAAUCGAUGUCAACCAGCUGUUGGGGCUGGCCUUGCAGCGCAGCUAACGCGCUUAACGCCUGAGUACGGUCGCAGAUUAAAACCUAAAGGAAUUGACGGGAUUCCGCACAAGCGGUGGAUGAUGGGAUUAAUCUGAUGCAACGCGAAAAACCUUUAAUGCACUUGAUAUGUCUGGAAUCCCGAAGAGAUUUGGGAGUGCUCGCAGAGAACCGGAACACAGGUGCUGCAUGGCUGUCGUCAGUCGUCGGGAUGUUGGGUUAAGUCCCGCAACGAGCGGCAACCUUGGCUGCCGUUAGUUGCUACGAAAGGGCACUCUCUAAUGAGACUGUCGGUGACAAACCGGAGGAAGGUGGGGAUGACGUUUGUCCCUAUGGCCCUUAUAGGUAGGGCUUGCCACGUCAUACAAUGGCCGGGACAGAGGUCGCCAACCCGCGAGGGGGAGCUAAUCCUAGAAACCCGAUCGUAGUCCGGAUCGCAGUCUGCAACUCGACUGCGUGAAGUCGGAAUCGCUAGUAAUCGUGGAUCAGCAUGUCGUGGUGAAUACGUUCCCGGAGUCUGGUAUGAUCGUGCUGCCAC
rnacentral:rRNA from 1 species